rnacentral:rRNA from 1 species
AGAGUUUGAUCCUGGCUCAGGAUGAACGCUGGCGGCGUGCCUAACACAUGCAAGUCGAACGGUCGCAAGACAGUGGCGCACGGGUGAGUAACACGUAGCUGACCUGCCUUCGGGAUGGGGAUAACCCCGCGAAAGUGGGGCUAAUACCGAAUAAAGUCGGAAGGGUUAGAGGCUUCCGAUGAAAGAGGAUCGCCUGAAGAGGGGGCUGCGGCCCAUCAGGUAGUUGGUGGGGUAAAAGCCUACCAAGCCGACGACGGGUCGGGGGUCUGAGAGGAUGGCCCCCCACACUGGGACUGAGACACGGCCCAGACUCCUACGGGAGGCAGCAGUGAGGGAUAUUGCACAAUGGGGGAAACCCUGAUGCAGCGACGCCGCGUGGGCGAAGACGGCCUUCGGGUUGUAAAGCCCUUUUCUGUGUGACGAGUAAGGACGGAGCACAGAAGAGU